GUCAAAGUCCCGCUGUCCAGUGUCAUCACAUUCAAAUCCUGCAGUGAUGUUGUCCCUACCAUAUGCUCCCUCAUCAAGGCCACUGCUGGUCAUAUCCAACAUCAGCAUGCAAAACAUUAUCAUGAGAAGCAUUAUCAGGUAGUUUUCUGUUCAUUAGCAACACAUUAGAUUGUAGGUAAGUUAUUCCAGUGUUUGCUUUUCAUUUACUAGGUAAACGAGGGUGGCCUGUUCCAUCACACUCAUGUGGAAGAAGGGAAUCCACUCCACAAAGCUUGUAGAAAGCUGUAAGUUACUUUUGACAAAAUCAGACAGCUGUGGUCACUAAGAUUCCUUUUGCAAAGGAAUUAGGAAAGAAAAAGUGAUAGAAAGGAAUUAAUAGUUGGAAUGGGUGAGUUAUGACCAAGAGAAUUAAGAGAGCAGCCAUCUCUGAGGCAGAGUUCAUACAAGAUUUACUUUAUUUUUUAAAGAAAACAGGUACACUUGUGAUGAGUUUUGAAUAAUUUAUAUUAGGAUUAAAGUCUUGGCUUCAGAAUAUGCUUACAAUAAGGCAAGUCUGAGUCUGAAUCACCUCAAUUUGUGAGAUGUUGUAGCAAAACAUGUUUGUUCUAAAUCUUAUGAAACAAUAAUUAUAGUAAGUAAAGGCAAUUGGCAGUGAUUGAAAUACUAAUAAUACACUGCAUUUCAAACAUUUGUUUAAAGUGACCUCAGCCUGUUAUUUUACUGCUAGAGAACAAACCUCUCUCAAAUAGCAUUUGUCUACUACUGAAAUGCUCCGAUAGGAUCCACCACACAAAUUAAGGCUAAUUGCUAAUAAUUUAUUCACCAGGAGGUUUGUAUUAUCAGCUUUGUUUAUGGAAAAUGGAGAUUAAAAGUAGUUCUCUUUCUUGCAAACUGCUGUGCAAAUAUCUGGUCUUAUUAGAUGUCAUUAUCUCAUAGGAAUGAGGUGAGAGUUCUCUCAUAACAGGAAAAAAGAUAACCAAGUGUAAUAUAGGGCUGAGAAAAAUGUUUGGAUUUUAGUUGGCAGAACAGUUUAUGUGUUAAAUCUAUAAUAUAUGUUAUACUCUUCCUGUUCUACUUAAAAGUAAUGUUACCAUAAAAAAAUCAUUCCACGAAAGGAAUAAAGCUUUUGAGUGUAGUAUGUACAUACCACGUAGUUAGCAGGAAACUUGUACAGCUUUCUUUUUAUAAUGUUUUAUUUUUGCAUUACCCCAUCUUAUGUCCCAGUGCUUUUUGCUGCUCUGAUUCAGAAUGUCAAGCACUUAGAGGUAGGCUUAUUAGGAAAACAUAUAUAUCCACUGCAUCUCUACAUUGUAUUAAAUAAUGUAAAAUCACAUCUUGCCUCUCAUGAAGAUGUGCUGCCUGAAAUUUCAAAGGGAUUAAAUUAUGUGAGGUGCCCUAAGAGCUAUUCCUUUAGCCACUAUUUUGAUAAUUCUCUUUUUCUUUAUAACGUAUCUCACUGUUCUCAGUUGUAUUAGUUUCAAAGGAUGGAGGGGCUCUUAAAAUAAGUGGUAUUUUGACUUAGAAAAUUGAAAAGAAGAUAAAAGGCCCCUCAUCAUAAAGUUCAAGCUACUUGAUGGCCUCUUUAUCCACCAGUUUGCUUCAGAUAAAUGCAACAUUUAAAAUGUUCAUCUAAAGUUACAGAGCAGAAGAUGGGUGCUCCAGAUGCCCAGUCAGACUCUUAUUUCUCAAGCUGAUCUAGGCAAAGGAUGAACCUUCAGAUCUGGUGUUCUCCCAUUAU